AACAUUAUAAGUUAAAUAAACUAUUGAUUUGAUACAUCAGCAUUAGGAUUAUUCCUUUUUGUUA
rnacentral:tRNA from 1 species